CCUGUAUCGUAGGUACUUACCACGCAUAAUAGCGUGCAGUCUCCUAUGCCAUAAAAGGAACAAAAUAAACAACCGAAAAUAUUAGCGUAAAAAUGCCAUUCGCACUUGCCCCAUCCCGCACGCAGAACAUUGAUGACGAUGACCGCCGCACUCCAAUGCCAUAAGUCGAAAACAGAGCGACUACGGAGUGGCGACGGCAGCAAAACAUUCCAUAUUUUCGCUGCGGCGAAUUUGAAACUGCCACGGAAUGUGGCGGUGCGACAGCGCGGCAGGACUAGCGACCAAGCUGACGCUCUGGUGAAAGCUGUCUUUACAUCCCGGGACCAUAUCAACUCGUCAGCCAAAUAAGACGGGAUUCUGUAUUUUAUAACCCCAAACAGAACUGUAGCUAAGUGUAGAUCUCUUCGCAUUUUCAUUUUCAAAAUAUUUGCGUUGUUUAUGUAAGGGGUUACGUGCGU